UACGUAGGGGGCAAGCGUUGUCCGGAUUUAUUGGGCGUAAAGAGCGUGUAGGCGGCCACACAGGUCUGCUGUGAAACUCGAGGCUCAACCUCGAGCUGUCGGUGGAAACCGUGUGGCUAGAGUCCGGAAGAGGAGAGUGGAAUUCCCGGUGUAGCGGUGAAAUGCGCAGAUAUCGGGAAGAACACCCGUGGCGAAGGCGGCUCUCUGGGACGGUACUGACGCUGAGACGCGAAAGCGUGGGGAGCGAACAGG
rnacentral:rRNA from 1 species